GAGAAAAAAGAGUUCCACACUUAUAUUUGAUCGCAAGAAAUCACAUGGAGGUUGAGGUUUCUCAGAAUCUAUCUAUGCUAGUAAAAUGGAGUAUUUGAGGUUUCCGAGAACGUCUAUAUCACCAUAAAAUUCUUCUUCCGAAAGAAGAUGUAGGAAAGUGAUGAAGAAUAAGAAACCGAAGCUGAACCAGAGGCCAACCAGAUGAACCACUCAACCAACUCGAGAACCAACCAAGACGUAUGUAACUCAAAGUGGCAUCUCACCAACCAGGAAAAUUUCGACAUGAAACCAAUUUACAUGGAUUCUACACUCAACAAUGUUUCCAAGACAAGUUGAAUCAUCCUCAAACAUUCUCACCAGAAAGUUAUGGAUUUUACAAACUGAAGGAAAUCACCUAGUUGCUAUGGAAAUAUGGAGUUAUGAUCAAUUUUCCUAAACCAGCCAAACCAGUUAUGCAGUUGCCUGAUUUGGAGUCUCACCGGUUCAAUCUUAGUCAAAUUAAACAAUGACAACCUGGAGAGGUUUUUGGGAAUCUGGAAAGUAGAUCCAAUUAUCCCGGAGAUGAGAAAUGUUCUUACCAUGCACCAGCAUCCACCAGAUUGUUCAGAAUCAACGAAAACCAUAUUUACUAUUUUGGAGUCAAAAGCCAUCAAUACUCAGCAGCUCUUUUCCCAUCAAGACUGGCACUAUUUCUACCAAUAUUUCUGCAGUAAAAAAGUUCUUAAGAUGCUUACCUACAGCCUUAAAAUGUCCAGAUACAAAGCCAUCAUCUCAGUCUUUGAAUCAAGUCAUAUAAAUCAUGAAAUCUCUUAACAACUAGUUUUUUCGAUUUUCCUUAUUUGUCUGCUCCUUUCUUGUUCUUAAGUUACUUAGAAACGUGUAAUGGGAUUGUAUGGGAAGUUAUGUUGGUUAGUUAAAGCUGUUGAAUCUAAGUUUGAUAGAUACCGAGAUUAUACAUUUUUUUUUGCCAUUUAUUAUUAUUAUUUAUGAAAAGACCUAAAGCUCAGAACAUACAAAACCCAGUACACAGAAACUGAGUCUACACUAAGGGGUCCAAACAAUGGCCCGAAAAGAAAACGAACCCAACACUAGCCCAUAACGAAACAAUCCUAAACAGAUGAGCGCGUCGCACGAACGCGUAACAAGACACGCGUUAACACCAUGAUCCCCAAAAGACAAGCGUUUGAACCUCAACCAGACAAGGUACACGCGUCAUGCCUCCGCCGCGUCGUCACCGCCAAGGAUUUCAACACCGGAGAAAGCCGUCCGUCGCUUCCCCGGGACACCGAAACACCGUCGGAAACAUGAUUCCGACCCCUUCAAUUCCGCCUCUUCGCCUGGACUUGUAUCAACGGGGAGCUUCAUCGGCCUGUCCUGAGAUCUCCUCUCAAGCCACCGAAGUCAUCAUCCUCACCCUAACGUUUCCUUUCCUAGAGAGAGCCCAUCGAUCCGUUGAUUUCUCCUCCUGAAAGCGAAGCCGUACUCACCAUCGGGACAUAACCGGAGCAUCGAAAAAAUCCAACCACAUCCGCCGUCGAGAUCGGACCAUAACGACGCGGAGAAACCGAAGCCGGACGUUCGCCUUAGUAUAUGGGCGCAGCGCCGGAGUCAAAAGCCGACCGUCCACCGUGGAAGAGGUGUAACGCCGGAAGCCGAGGGAAAAACUAAGCAAACGAGAGCGAAAACAAAAGGAAAAAAAGAAAAAGCUAGUCUAAGACCGGACAGACUGUGGCUAAGAGAGCCUCGCCGUCGGCCGGAAAGCGGAACUCAGAUCUUUCGCCUCUAGAGAGAAGUUGGAGGAGCGAUUCAAGGAGAGAGAGAGAUUAGAUACUGAGGUUAUACAUAAACUCAAUGGUGGGUUAUUUGGACGACGUUUUAUUGAUCAACCGGAUGACGAAUUACGAGAAAGUGAUUAAAAAGUAAGUGAAAAUGAAAAAAAUCCGGCGAGAAUAAAGAAUGAAAGAUAAGCUCUACUUUUAACUACUGAUAUACUCUCUAAUUUUUAAUAUCCUUCUCUAAGUUCUUUCCUCCUUAUUUUAUAUUUGAGUUCCUUCUACUCUCAAUUUGGUUUGGCCUAAUUGGUUGAGCCGAGUUAGGCCAAGUUGUCUUCCAUUUACCUUGUUGAGAAUAACCGAAUUUUGUAUUUGAUGGGUUUUGUUGAAGGGUGUAAUCCUUCUCCAACAAAAAUUCACAUCCAAUCUAAUUCAAAAGUCCAAAAUAUCAGGAGUAAUAUACCAAAUUUUAGUUUUCUUAGAGCA